UUCGUGCGGCGUCACGGCUAUACUUUCCCCAUGUUGCUCACUUCUGCUGAUCGUGCGGUGGUUCGAGUGUCAAGCCGUGUCCAGAAUAAUUUUCGUGGACGUCUUAGUGCCUUUUUAACCCUCCUUUUAUGGCUCUUGUAGCCUUUUUGGGAGGAGGGUUGGGUCGGUGGUUCUUACACUC
rfam:Sistotremastrum suecicum HHB10207 ss-3 unplaced genomic scaffold SISSTscaffold_45, whole genome shotgun sequence.